rnacentral:rRNA from 1 species
UCCGUAGGCGGGCAAUUAAGUCAGAGGUGAAAUCCCACAGCUCAACUGUGGAACUGCCUUUGAUACUGGUUGUCUUGAGUUAUAGUGAAGUAGAUAGAAUAUGUAGUGUAGCGGUGAAAUGCAUAGAUACUACAUAGAAUACCGAUUGCGAAGGCAGUCUACUAACUGUAUACUGACGCUAAUGGACGAAAGCGUGGGGAGCGAACAGGAUUAGAUACCCUGGUAGUCC